UGGGGAAUUUUCCGCAAUGGGCGCAAGCCUGACGGAGCAAGACCGCGUGAGGGAGGAAGGUUCUUGGAUUGUAAACCUCUUUUCUCUGGGAAGAAAAAAAUGACGGUACCAGAGGAAUAAGCAUCGGCUAACUCCGUGCCAGCAGCCGCGGUAAGACGGAGGAUGCAAGCGUUAUCCGGAAUGAUUGGGCGUAAAGCGUCCGCAGGUGGUUUUUCCAGUCUGCUGUUAAAGACCGGGGCUUAACUCCGGGCAGGCAGUGGAAACUGAAAGACUAGAGUAUGGUAGGGGCAGAGGGAAUUCCUGGUGUAGCGGUGAAAUGCGUAGAGCUCAGGAAGAACAUCGGUGGCGAAGGCGCUCUGCUAGGCCAAAACUGACACUCAGGGACGAAAGCUAGGGGAGCGAAUGGG
rnacentral:rRNA from 1 species